AGUACCUACGGGAGGCAGCAGUAGGGAAUCUUCCACAAUGGACGAAAGUCUGAUGGAGCAACGCCGCGUGAGUGAAGAAGGGUUUCGGCUCGUAAAGCUCUGUUGGGAGUGAAGAAAGAUAGAGGUAGUAACUGGCCUUUAUUUGACGGUAAUUACUUAGAAAGUCACGGCUAACUACGUGCCAGCAGCCGCGGUAAUACGUAGGUGGCAAGCGGUUUCCGGGUUUAUUGGGCGUAAAGCGAGUGAAGGCGGGUCCAUAA
rnacentral:rRNA from 1 species